GAGAAGGAGAAGUUGGGUAACUGUCAACGUUCCGGUUAUUGAAAUUGUGAAGGAGAUGGAUGGGAGAUGAGCCAUGUGUUGGUGUGGUUGGACGGCUAGAGAAAGGUGUGUUUGAUUCAGAGUGUCUUCCGUGUUUAGUCUGGCUCUUUGCCGUGUGAUGCCACUUCUUUAAUGCUGUGGCUACUCUUUCGUUAAAUACUGUUGGCUUCAUCUUAGUACCCAUCUACACACAUUUUUAAUAAACACAAUGUCAGAAAACUAAAGAUCAUAUAUCCAAAACCUGGUUAUGUUACACUCAAUGUUGUGUAGUACCUGAGUAACAAGUGCAUAGAGUGGAAGAGUCACAUAGCUGCAAAGUAUCUGCACAACAACUCUGCAAGAUUUAUAAAAAAAGGGGAAAAGGUUAUUAUACAUUUUCAGCAAAUUCUCAUAAUCAGCAGUCAAGAUAAUGUUAGCUUACCCAACUGCAAUCCUAAUGACCACAUCUGCAUUGCUUUCAUGGAAACAAUUCCUGAGAUUGAACUCAUACUGCAAAUACCAAAAAUUUAGGACGUAACAAUUAGUAUAUAUAUAGUAUACCCCUAAAUAGCAAUGUUUUUAAUGAAAAUGAAUGAGCUCGCUUACCGUACUCCAGGCAAAGAAGGCUAGUUGAAAUGCAUUCUGCAAAGUGAAGAAGUUUGGUACUCAUAAGUUUAUUCUACCAUUAGGAGAAACCGAAAGAGGAUAAAUGAGCGGUGAAGGAUAUAGUAUUGUACCGUAAAGAGGACCAAGUGGAUAAGAAAAAGAAUGAACCGUGGCUUGCCAAACCAGAAGAGGUCAUCACCAGGCUGAACCACCGGAGCACCUCUCACCACAUCACCUUUCUCUUGGAUUCUUAGACCCAAUUUGGUAAUUAUGACUUGAAGCUUUGUUCCAACUAUUAGAAUUACCUGCACUUAUAUACAUUUUGUUAAAAAACUGGCGACGAAAGGACAAAAUCGGAGAAAUGUUUAUCGGUCUAAGAGCUUAUUGUACUUACGAUUAGUGGAAUAAAUGGUAACCAAAGGUAAGAACGUAGUCCUGUUUCAAAAGAAAAUCUAUGUCAGUUUUCUGAAAAUAGUGAUGCAGCUAAGACUUAAUCUGCGUUUAAGCAAUCAACAUUUACCAUUUGUAUUGGUCAAGAGGAAUAGCACCGCGACAAACCAAAUAACCGGACUGCAUAAAGGUGGCAAAGAUUUAAGACAAAAUAUCCAAACUGACUUUGCUCAGACUAUAAAGAAAAUCAUUAUUAGUUCCAAACCUGAUUUCAACAACAGUUUUGAAGUCUUCCUCUAAUGAUCUCUGAAUAUACUUGCGGAAAUCAAAUCUUGAUUCGCUCCCGUGAGCCAAAUGCGCCUGAAAUUUGUAUUUAGAUCAUUGUCUUGAGAGAUAAGUGUCAUAAUAAACAUUAGAUAACGGGAAAAUAGUGAACUCCUUACCAUGAUGAAACCAUGUCUUAGUGCUAAGUAAUCAACUUUGGUGACAGAUCCAAAGAACUGUCUGAAAAAACACACAACCCAUAGUGUAACACUCGACUUACUCCAGAAAUUGAGAUGUCUUCUCCCAAAGGAUGUGUCCCUCGCAAACCUGAACCUCUCAGGAUCUGCAUAACCAGAAGUAUCACUGUAAAUUUCCCAUUUCGGUCUUUAAUAUUUGUGGAAUACUCGGAGUCACAUACCAUUGGAAUACUGAUACUCUAUUGUCUUCGUCUCCUCCUCCCAUGACUUCCACCUCCUCAUCUGCAAUACUCAAGAAAGCAAAUAUUUAAAAAUCUUUGGUCCAUACACUCUUUCUUGAUUCUCGCCUUAGCCACUGUGGGAUUCACAAGAAAUGUUACCUUAGUCUUUCCGAGAGCAUAAGUAACAAUGCAAUAAAUAACAUGAACCACGGCCAGCACAAAGAUGAAUAUAUGCAACUGGUGGAUUCCAUAAGCAGAUACAAAAGCCACUUUCCCCUGAGAAAAUUCAUCAAUCCAAAUCAAAAUCUAUCGGUUUGACAAGCCAAGAAUGAUUUGCAUAUAUAUAUAUGGGAGAUUGUUAGUUACCUUCUCUGCACAUUUGUCAUAACCUUUGGUGGCUAAACUUCGUCUAGGGAUAUAAGAUUCAGCUAACUCAAGAAGAAGUCUUCGACCCGAUUUUUCUCCAUCUCCAUCUCCAUGUUCUUUCUUUGCGGGGUCUUUCUUGUGGUAUUUUCUAGCUUCUUCCGCGGCGCUGCAAGGGUGCAUUGUCGAUGCAACCUGCUCGGAGAUGCAGAUAUUUGAGAUUGGCGUUUGUCCAAUAGUGAGGAGUAGUGAUAUGAAUCCCAACAGCAUAAGCUCUGAAUGAAGUAUAAGUAUAGAAAAUAUUAGAAGCUUGUUAAUAGAUGGAUGAAGUUUAAGUAGAAAAAAGACAGUUUUUUUAGUUACCUGCUUUGACCUUUUCAAGAGCUUCAAAUAGAGCCUUCUUGUGCUUCUUUCUAAACCACUAUAAAAAAGAAUGGGAAGCGAUUUUCAUUAACAGAGCAUUAACCAAAGAAGAAGACAAAGAAACAGAGCAGUAAGCAGAUCAAGAACACACACAAAAAAAAAAACAGAGGCAGAACAGAAAACAGGGGAAUCUUGAAAUAAGGAAAAAAUCAGAACAGGGACUUACGGUUCCAAUUUUGUGAAUCGAAUGUUCGAGAACAAUCGAAAUAAAUAGUAAGACGAAGCAAACCACAGCUACUGCCCACGUAGAGGUCUCUUCUAAAGUCCGCUCCUUAACUUGAUUCGCCAUUGGAGCUUAAUUCUAAGGAAAACCCCCCCAAACGAGACUAUCCUUCUUUCUUUCCAGAGAUCUUGUCUCUUUUUGCUUUUCAACCAAAAGAAGUAAAGAACGAACACACGAGAAGAGACGGAGAUUUCGUGUUCUUCUUGUUUUGCUCUCAAUUUUGAAACUAGUACGCAAACGCAAUUUUUGAAAAAAAGACGCAAAGUUGUGUCGUAAUAAUAUAGAGGAGAGCUAAGAGAGGAGGCGAAAGAGGAAAGGGGGAAUGAAGAAGAAGAAGAUAAGACCCGUAACUAAUAAUGGGAAUGAGAGACUGUUAAGUAAACUAAAGGCUUCUUCUAUGUUAUAACUACGUCGUUCUUCUUUUGAAGAAACGUUCAACGUUUUGACUUUUUUUGGUAUUAUUCCCUCAUGUGACGAGUGACGACGCCUCCCCAACUUAUCACCGUCGCUUUAUUUUCAAGGUCUAUGGCCUUGUUGUUUGUUAUAUUCGGUCAAAUCAUGUGGUUUAACUCGGUUUUGAUAUCCAAGGUCUAGUUUGUCUAAUAUUUAACUUGUGGUUUAACUCGGUUUUGAUAUACUUCAGUUUUUUUAAAUUUUGAUUUAACUCGGUUUUGUUAUUUGGUGUAAUUUUUUCUUAAACAACAAUUGAAUUUUGUGUAUAUCAAAUGACCACUUGAGAGAUACAAUUAUUAGACAUAAGAAUAACGUUUACUAUAAUGGGAUCUCUCGUUGGAAAGUUCGUGCCUUUGAUUUCUUUAGCCUCCCCUAUUCUCAACUUGUUUGUUGUUCUAUCUAAAAUAAUAAGAGAUGUUAAUAUAAUAAGACACUCGUUAGACGACGAAAACGAAUUAUUAUACUCGUUGAAAUAAACUACGUCGGCCAAAAAAUUAUUUUUGAAAGCAACAUUUUGAUAAUGUGGUUGUUCUAUAAUUUUUACACAAAAAAAUUCGUUUUGAAUUACGUGGUUUAGUUUUUUUUUUUUUUUUUUGCUUGCUGUUAAUUUAUAUAAAGCAAUUAUUAUACAAAAGUAGUACUUCAAAUUAUUCGAAAACAGCUUGUACAUACAUAUAUGAACAGAGAUGAAUGCAGCAAUGAUUGAUUCAAAGCAGUACUGAUAGUUAUUUCCAGGGUACGAGAUCAAAUUCUGAAAUCAAGAAACAUCUUUCUUAAAAGAAAAUUUGUCUAAGCUUUUGCUAGUCCUUAUAGGAGGAUGUUCCGCAGAUGCAAGGACCGGCUUCGUUUUCUCCGAGCUUUCAUGCGCAAGAGGAUGAUGUGUGGAAGUUUCAGCUUCUUGGUGUUGAGACUCAGGAUCCCAAAACUGGUGUUCCUGAUGAUGACUAUGACCAGAGUUUGUGGGAGCAGUCGAUGAGUUCUUGACAUUGUGAAGGAGAUGGAUUGGAGAUGAGCCAUGUGUUGGUGUGGUUGGACGGCUAGAGAAAGGUGUGUUUGAUCCCGAGUGUUUUCCGUGUUUAGUCUGGUUCUUCGCCGUCUGAUGCCACUUCUCUAAUGCUGUGGCUACUCCUUCGUUGAAUACUGUUGGCUUCAUUUGAGUACCCAUCUACAUACAUUUUUCAUUAUACACAGUGUCAAAAAAUUAACUAAAGAUCAUAUAUCCAAAAUCUGGGAUGGACGUAACACUAAUUAAGGUUGUGUAGUAC
rnacentral:lncRNA from 1 species